GAGUGUAUAGAAACUUUUGAAUUGUGUUAGGAUGGGUUAGGCCCAUUAGAAUUUUGAGUUAAGCCCAUUAAGGGGGAUAACACUAGGGUUGUCUUAGAAUGGUUAUUCAUUUCACAAAACAAUUUUCAUAGAGAGAAGGAGAGGUAGAGAGAGAAGAGGUGAAGAGAAGAGCAAGAGGGUUGAAGGGAAGCUUUAGGAAUCAAGUGGGUGACCUAGGAGCUGAAUUGAAGCAAGGGUUAGAGAUAAUCAACUUCAAAGGUAAGGGGGUUAUUGAUUAUCAUAAUCAUGUGUAAUUUUGCAUAUUCUCAUGUUGUAUGAAAAUGAGUUGAUGAACAAUUCAUGCUAAAUUCGUGCUCUUGUUGUGAUGUUAUGUUUGUAUGCAUGAAUUGAUGUUA
rnacentral:lncRNA from 1 species